rnacentral:rRNA from 1 species
AAUUUGGCCUGCCCCCUGAUUUAAAGUUUAAAGGGCCGCAGUAUUAAUAACUGUGCAAAGGUAGCAUAAUCAUUAGGUUUUUAAUUGGAAUCUUGUAUGAAUGGUUAGACAAAAGAGUGACUCUCUUUAUAUUAAUAUUGAAUUUAACUUUUAAGUGAGAAGGCUUAAAUUAACUAAGGGGACGAUAAGACCCUGUAAAACUUUUACAUUGUAAUUAUAUUUUAGAAAAAUUUGUAAGAUAAAGAUUUAAUUUGGUUAUUUGUUAUGUUGGGGAGACAUAAGUAAAAUAUUAUUUUAACUGCUUAAUAAAUGAAUACAAUUAUUAGUGAUAAAAUUAUAGAAGAUCCUUUUAUAAAGAUUAGUAGAUUAAGUUACUUUAGGGAUAACAGCGUAAUUUCUUUUAAGAGUUCUUAUCGAAAAAGAAGAUUGCGACCUCGAUGUUGAAUUAAAAAAUCUAUAUAAUGAAGAGGUUAUAUAAGAGGGUCUGUUCGACCUUUAAAUUUUU